UAUGUGUUGUCACCUGUUGCCUGGGAGAAGAGGCAAACACCCACCUGGCUACACUCUCCUUCCAGGUAGUUGUAGAGAGCAGUAAGAUCUCCCCUGAGCCCCUUUUCCUCCAGGCUAAACAACCACAGCUCCCUCAGGCACUCCUCACAGGACUCGUGCUCCAGACCCUUCCCCAGCUCUGUUGCCCUUCUCAUGACACACUGCAGCACCUCAAUGUCCUUCUUGAAAUGAGGGGCCCAAAACCAGACACAGGACUCAGUGUCAGGGUUGGCUACAAUAUGAGAUGAAGAAGGAGAAAGGUCACCCUCCUUCUCAGUCACUGUUGGAACUCCCCUCACUGUUAGGCUAGCAGGACAUGUAGGUCUGGAUGGAAGUCACUAGGGAGAAUUUUUAAUCUCGUGACUUUUAUUAGAACACAAGAGCAGAAGCAUAAACCGCAUUAUUGCUGAAGGAAGCUGGUCUGAGAAGCUGUAUUCCCACAUGCAUAUGAGUAUUCUGAAAUAUGUAACAGAAUAUAUGGAUUUGUGUCACCCAGUUGACAUUCUGAGCACAAAGAGAAGACUGCAUUAAAUGAGAGGAGAUCAAGAAAGAUCAGAAAGCCAGAGACAUCUGCUGAAGCUAAAGGCCAUCUCAACUUAGGAGGUUCUGCAGCUAUGAAUGUGGCGAGUUAUACACCAAGACAAAAACCAUGUCAUAGUCUACA